GACGAACGCUGGCGGCGUGCUUAACACAUGCGAGUCGAACGGAAAGGCCCUGCUUUUGUGGGGUGCUCGAGUGGCGAACGGGUGAGUAACACGUGAGUAACCUGCCCUUGACUUUGGGAUAACUUCAGGAAACUGGGGCUAAUACCGGAUAGGAGCUCCUGCUGCAUGGUGGGGGUUGGAAAGUUUCGGCGGUUGGGGAUGGACUCGCGGCUUAUCAGCUUGUUGGUGGGGUAGUGGCUUACCAAGGCUUUGACGGGUAGCCGGCCUGAGAGGGUGACCGGCCACAUUGGGACUGAGAUACGGCCCAGACUCCUACGGGAGGCAGCAGUGGGGAAUAUUGCACAAUGGGCGGAAGCCUGAUGCAGCAACGCCGCGUGCGGGAUGACGGCCUUCGGGUUGUAAACCGCUUUCGCCUGAGACGAAGCGUGAGUGACGGUAAUGGGUAAAGAAGCACCGGCUAACUACGUG
rnacentral:rRNA from 1 species